GCUUUCGACCACACCGGCCUGAGUACGCCUGAUCUCGUCUGAUCUCGGAAGCUAAGCAGGGUCGGGCCUGGUUAGUACUUGGAUGGAGACCGCCUGGGAAUACCAGGUGCUGUAAGCU
rnacentral:rRNA from 1 species